CACAAAUUUUCCUGCUGAAAUUUGUUUUGCGAUGACUGUUAUUUAUGCAUAUGCAAUCCUUUUACGGCGAUUAGGUAUGAUAAGGAUCAGAUAGCGCAGAAGGAAUAUGGGAUGAUUUGAUUGCUGCGAAGCAAUGCACAGAGUAGGUGGUAAUGCCUUUUCAAAAGAGCAGCUGCUGGAACUCUGCAGCACGAGAACUCUAAGCACGUAGGUCUAACUGGGGCUAUUAUUAAGGAAGAAAUGUGGAGAUGACACUGAAUCUGCAAGAAAUGGAGAUUCUAGCAAAUUUAUUUGUGGAAAAGGCUGUUUCCCCCCCUUGCUUCUGGAGAAUAAAAUCCUCAUUCUACCUCAUCAAUGUGUAUCCUUUGCAUUCAGACUUAUCACAGAGAGGACACAUGCUUCACCGAUGGAAGCUGGUCUCACGGAUGCCAAGCUGCAGAAUGACCAAAAUACCCUCUUCGCGGUCUAUGACAGCAGCCAUGACGACAUACGUGCAUUCAAUAAAACAUCACCAAAUAUAGCCACAGUAAAUGCAGUUCUCUCAUAGAGUUUGUGAAAUCUUAUGCCAACCGCUAUAAAUCAGUGUGAUAUGUAAAACUAAAUUUAAAUAUUGCACACUCUCACUCAUAGAUUCAGCAGAUGUGGAAAUCAUUAAUGACAUUAGUAGUCAUUUGCUUAAUUAUACACCA